GACGAACGCUGGCGGCGUGCUUAACACAUGCAAGUCGAACGGGAUUUAGUAGACAGAAGCCUCGGCUAAAGACUACUAAUGGGAGUGGCGAAAGGGAGAGUAACGCGUGAGCAACCUGCCUAUGACAGUGGGAUAGCCACGGGAAAUCGGGAUUAAUACCGCAUAAAAUCGUAGAAACACAUGUACGAACGGUCAAAGAUCUAUCGGUCAUAGAUGGGCUCGCGUCUGAUUAGCUAGUUGGUGAGAUAACAGCCCACCAAGGCGACGAGCAGUAGCCGGUCUGAGAAGAUGAACGGCCACAUUGGAACUGAGACACGGUCCGAACUCCUACGGGAGGCAGCAGUGGGGAAUAUUGCACAAUGGGGGAAAGCCUGAUGCAGCGACGCCGCGUGAACGAAGAAGGUAUUCGUAUCGUAAAGUUCUGUCCUAUGGGAAGAUAAUGACAGUACCAUAGAAGAAAGCUCCGGCUAAAUACGUG
rnacentral:rRNA from 1 species